rnacentral:rRNA from 1 species
AUACGUAGGGGGCGAGCGUUGUCCGGAAUGAUUGGGCGUAAAGGGCGCGUAGGCGGCCCGGUAAGUCUGGAGUGAAAGUCCUGUUUUUAAGAUGGGAAUUGCUUUGGAUACUGUCGGGCUUGAGUGCAGGAGAGGUAAGUGGAAUUCCCAGUGUAGCGGUGAAAUGCGUAGAGAUUGGGAGGAACACCAGUGGCGAAGGCGACUUACUGGACGGUAAGUGACGCUGAGGCGCGAAAGUGUGGGGAGCAAACAGUAGUAGAUACCCUGGUAGUCCACACUGUAAACGAUGAAUGCUAGGUGUAGGGGGUAUCGACCUCUUCUGUGCCGCAGUCAACACAAUAAGCAUUCCGCCUGGGGAGUACGGCAGCAAGGUUGAAACUCAAAUGAAUUGACGGGG